AGGGUUUGAUCCUGGCUCAGAACGAACGCUGGCGGCAGGCCUAACACAUGCAAGUCGAGCGCACCUUCGGGUGAGCGGCGGACGGGUUAGUAACGCGUGGGAACAUACCCUUCUCUACGGAAUAGCCAUUGGAAACGAUGAGUAAUACCGUAUACGCCCUUCGGGGGAAAGAUUUAUCGGAGAUGGAUUGGCCCGCGUUAGAUUAGAUAGUUGGUGGAGUAAUGGCCUACCAAGUCUACGAUCUAUAGCUGGUUUUAGAGGAUGAUCAGCAACACUGGGACUGAGACACGGCCCAGACUCCUACGGGAGGCAGCAGUGGGGAAUCUUAGACAAUGGGCGCAAGCCUGAUCUAGCCAUGCCGCGUGAGUGAUGAAGGCCUUAGGGUCGUAAAGCUCUUUCGCUAGGGAUGAUAAUGACAGUACCUAGUAAAGAAGCCCCGGCUAACUCCGUGCCAGCAGCCGCGGUAAUACGGAGGGGGCUAGCGUUGUUCGGAAUUACUGGGCGUAAAGCGUACGUAGGCGGAUCAGAAAGUAUGGGGUGAAAUCCCAGGGCUUAACCCUGGAACUGCCUCAUAAACUCCUGGUCUUGAGUUCGAGAGAGGUGAGUGGAAUUCCGAGUGUAGAGGUGAAAUUCGUAGAUAUUUGGAGGAACACCAGUGGCGAAGGCGGCUCACUGGCUCGAUACUGACGCUGAGGUACGAAAGUGUGGGGAGCAAACAGGAUUAGAUACCCUGGUAGUCCACACCGUAAACNAUGAAUGCCANACGUCGGGCAGUAUACUGUUCGGUGUCACACCUA
rnacentral:rRNA from 1 species